GCCAAUGUGGUGUAAUGGUUUGAGUGCUGGACUAGAACUCCAGGGGACCAGGGUUCAAAUCCCCACUUGACC